rnacentral:rRNA from 1 species
UAAAAAGCUACAUAAGCGCAUAUAACGGAUGCCUUGACAUAAGUUACCGAUGAAGGACGUAGUAGGCUGCGAUAAGCUUCGGGGAGGUGCCAACAACCUUUGAACCGAAGAUGUCCGAAUGGGGAAACCCACAACGAGUAAUGUUGUUGUAUAGCUACCUGAAUAUAUAGGGUAGUCAAUGGUAAGUGCCUGAACUGAAACAUCUUAGUAGGGCGAGGAAUAGAAAGUAACCAACGAUUCUGGGAGUAGUGGCGAGCGAAACUGGAAUAGUCUAAACUUAGUUUACUUCCGUCUCUUAAUUGAGUCGGAUAAGUUGACAGACGAAUGUAAAUUAGGGGUUGUGAGAAGUAAAUAUUUCAAGCUGAUGUUUUAAAUUUAUUUGAAACAUUGGUUUGAGCGUACACGCUGUCACGAGUGUACAUAAGGUAAAAAAUGUUCAAUGCGAGUAGAACAAGCUGGAAAGCUUGGCCAGAGACGGUGAUAGCCCGGUAUACUAAGUGUUGAACACCUUAUUUUUACUUUCUCGAGUAAGACGGGGCACGAGAAACCCUGUCCGAAGCUGGGACGACCACGUUCCAAGACUAAAUAUAACUUAUGAUCGAUAGAGAACUAGUACCGCGAGGGAAAGGUAAAAAGAACCCCGGAAGGGGAGUGAAAUAGAACCUGAAAUUAUAUGCGUACAAGGACUCGGAGCAGAUUUAUCUGUGACGGGGUGCUUUUUGUAGAACGAUCCAGCGAGUUAAUUGUUAGGGCAAGCUUAAGCCAUUUGGCGAGAGGCACAGUGAAAGCGAGCCUGAAUAGGGCGACAAAGUCCUACCAAUUAGACCCGAAACCGGGUGACCUAACCAUGAGCAGGCUGAAGCGACGGUAAAACGUCGUGGAGGGCCGAACCGUAGCACGUUGCAACAUGCCCGGAUGACUUGUGGUUAGCGGUGAAAUGCCAAUCGAACUCGGAGAUAGCUGGUUCUCCUCGAAAUAACUUUAGGGUUAGCGUCGUACGGUAACAUGUAGGGGUAGAGCUCUGUUUCGGACUGGGGGUCGUAAGACUACCCACCCUUGACAAACUACGAAUACUACAUGCGGAACUACGGCAGUUAGAACGGCGGAGCUAAGUUCGUCGCUCAAAAGGGAAACAGCCCAGACCACCAGCUAAGGUCCCUAAGUCUAUACUAAGUGGGAAACGAGGUGGGAUUUCUUAAACAAUGAGGAUGUUGGCUUAGAAGCAGCCAUUCAUUUAAAGAGUGCGUAACAGCUCACUCAUCAAGAGAUCCUGCGCGGAAAAUGUAACGGGGCUAAGUAUAGCACCGAAGCUGUGGAUGCGUAUUUAUACGCGUGGUAGAGGAGCGUUCCUAUCUGCGUCGAAGUCGUACUGUGAGGUACGGUGGAGCGUUAGGAAGUGAGAAUGCUGGAAUGAGUAACAACAAGGCAGGUGAGAAUCCUGCCCACCGAAAGAGCAAGGUUUCCUGGGCCACGGUAAUCGUCCCAGGGUUAGUCGGGCCUAAGCCGAGGCAAGUAGCGUAGGCGAUGGACAACGGGUUAAUAUUCCCGUACUGGCUAUAGAUUGUUUAUUGUGCGCGGCAUGGUAGCAGAAGCGGAUUCAUGGUUAUAUCCGUCUAAAUUGUCUAACUGGCAAUGAAUGAAAGUUUGUUUUCGAACAAAUGAUUUUUGUGAGAGUACUGACCAGAAAAGCAUAUAAACGCGUGUCUAUAGUCAUCCGUACCGCAAACCGACACAGGUGCUCAGGUCGAGAAGACCAAGGUGUACGAGUGAAUCUUCGUUAAGGAACUCGGCAAAAAAGCGACCGUAACUUCGGGAUAAGGUCUGCCCCGUCACAGUGUUUAUCACUGUGGCAAAAUUUUAAGCCAGUUUUCUUUUUGAAAACAACGGCCUGAAAAAUAGUUUUUAAGCAUUCUAUUUUUCAGUCGGAUACGAGAAAUAAUUGAGAAAAGAGAGCUGACCCCUAAAUAAGCACGUAACGUGGUAGUUACUGUGACGGGGCCGCAGCGAAAGAACCCAAGCAACUGUUUACCAAAAACAUAGGUCUCUGCAAACACGAAAGUGGAAGUAUAGGGGCUGACGCCUGCCCGGUGCUGGAAGGUUAAGGGGAAGACUUCACGGUCUGAACUGAAGCCCCAGUGAACGGCGGCCGUAACUAUAACGGUCCUAAGGUAGCGAAAUUCCUUGUCAGGUAAGUUCUGACCCGCACGAAUGGCGUAAUGAUUUGGGUACUGUCUCAACGAAGAGCUCGGUGAAAGUGCAUUGCCGGUAAAGAUGCCGGCUGUCCGCAGCAGGACGAAAAGACCCUAUGGAGCUUUACUACAGCUUGACAUUGAAUCAGGCGUUUACAUGUGUAGAAUAGAUGGGAGACUUUGAAGCCCCGACGCUAGUCGGAGUGGAGUCGAAAUAUGAAAUACCAUCCUUGUAAUCGUUUUAUUCUUACCAUGACCGUAAUCCGGUUAUGAGACAGUGUCUGGUGGGUAGUUUAACUGGGGCGGUUGCCUCCUAAAGAGUAACGGAGGCGUUCAAAGGUCGACUAGAUACGGAUGGAAAUCGUAUCGAUAGUGCAUACGCAUAAGUCGGCUUGACUGUGAGGCAUACAAGCCAAUCAGGGACGAAAGUCGGAGUAAGUGACCCGCUGUAUUAAUCUUUCGAGAUUUAUGUAUGUGGGAACGACAGCGCAAACGGAUAAAAGUUACCCUAGGGAUAACAGGCUUAUCGGGCCCAAUAGUUCACAUAGACGGCCCGGUUUGGCACCUCGAUGUCGGCUCAUCACAUCCUGGAGGGGGAGCACCUUCCAAGGGUACGGCUGUUCGCCGUUUAAAGUGGUACGUGAGCUGGGUUCAGAACGUCGUGAGACAGUUCGGUUUAUAUCCGCUGUGGACGUCAGGAAAAUUGAGAGGAUUUGACCCUAGUACGAGAGGACCGGGUUGAACGCACCUCUGGUGUAUGGGUUGUCGUACCAACGGCAUUGCCCAGUAGCUAUGUGCGGGAUAGAUAAGCGCUGAAAGCAUAUUAAGCGCGAAACUAGCCUCAAGAUAAGUUUUCCCCAUGAGAUCCCUGAAAGACGAUCAGGUUGAUAGGCGCAAGGUAGAAGUGUGGUAACACAUGUAGCUGAAGCGUACUAAUAGAUCCAUUGGUUUUUUAUG